GAUGAACGCUAGCGGGAGGCUUAACACAUGCAAGUCGAGGGGCAGCACAUGAGUAGCAAUACGAUGGUGGCGACCGGCGCACGGGUGAGUAACACGUAUGCAACCUGCCUGUAAGAGGGGAAUAACCCGGAGAAAUUCGGACUAAUACCGCAUAAUACCACGAGACUGCAUGGUUUUGUGGUUAAACAUUUAUUGGCUUACAGAUGGGCAUGCGUAUGAUUAGAUAGUUGGUAGGGUAACGGCCUACCAAGUCUACGAUCAUUAGGGGUUCUGAGAGGAAGGUCCCCCACACUGGUACCUGAGACACGGACCAGACUCCUACGGGAGGCAGCAGUGAGGAAUAUUGGUCAAUGGGCGAGAGCCUGAACCAGCCAAGUCGCGUGAAGGAAGAAGGUUCUAUGGAUUGUAAACUUCUUUUGCAGGGGAAUAAAGGACGGUACGUGUACUGUUUUGUAUGUACCUUGCGAAUAGGAUCGGCUAACUCCGUGCCAGCAGCCGCGGUAAAACG
rnacentral:rRNA from 1 species